rnacentral:rRNA from 1 species
AUUGAACGCUGGCGGCAGGCUUAACACAUGCAAGUCGAGCGGGGUGAUGGUGCUUGCACUAUCACUUAGCGGCGGACGGGUGAGUAAUGCUUAGGAAUCUGCCUAUUAGUGGGGGACUACAUCUCGAAAGGGAUGCUAAUACCGCAUACGUCCUACGGGAGAAAGCAGGGGAUCACUUGUGACCUUGCGCUAAUAGAUGAGCCUAAGUCGGAUUAGCUAGUUGGUGGGGUAAAGGCCUACCAAGGCGACGAUCGGUAGCGGGUCUGGGAGGAUGAUCAGCCACACUGGGACUGAGACACGGCCCAGACUCCUACGGGAGGCAGCAGUGGGGAAUAUUGGACAAUGGGGGGAACCCUGAUCCAGCCAUGCCGCGUGUGUGAAGAAGGCCUUAUGGUUGUAAAGCACUUUAAGCGAGGAGGAGGCUUACCUAGUUAAUACCUGGGAUAAGUGGACGUUACUCGCAGAAUAAGCACCGGCUAACUCUGUGCCAGCCGCCGCCGUAA